CGCGGGGUGGAGCAGUUGGCAGCUCGUCGGGCUCAUAACCCGAAGGUCGUAGGUUCGAGUCCUACCCCCGCAA
rfam:Peptoclostridium acidaminophilum DSM 3953 chromosome, complete genome.